GUGAGGAAUAUUGGUCAAUGGACGGAAGUCUGAACCAGCCAUGCCGCGUGCAGGAAUAAGGUCCUAUGGAUUGUAAACUGCUUUUAUUCGGGAAUAAACCUCUUUACGUGUAGGGAGCUGAAGGUACCGAAGGAAUAAGCACCGGCUAACUCCGUGCCAGCAGCCGCGGUAAUACGGAGGGUGCAAGCGUUAUCCAGAAUCAUUGGGUUUAAAGGGUCCGCAGGCGGGCUAUCAAGUCAGAGGUGAAAUCCCACAGCUUAACUGUGGAACUGCCUUUGAAACUGAUGGUCUUGAAUUAAGUGGGCGUUGGCGGAAUAUGACAUGUAGCGGUGAAAUGCAUAGAUAUGUCAUGGAACACCGAAAGCGAAGGCAGCUAACGAUACUUAUAUUGACGCUCAUGGACGAAAGCGUGGGUAGCGAACAGGAUUAGAAACCCCUGUAGUCC
rnacentral:rRNA from 1 species